rnacentral:rRNA from 1 species
AUAAUCAUUAGUCUUUUAAUUGAAGAAUUGUAUGAAUGGUCUAACGUAAUUUUAUUUUAUUAAAUAAAUAAAUUGAAUUUAAAUUUAAAGUGAAAAUGCUUUAUUAAUAUUUUAGACGAUAAGACCCUUUAGAGUUUUAUUUAUGUUUUUAUUUUUUAUUAGAAUUUAAAAAUUGGAUUUAUUAAAUUUUAUUGGGGCAAUAAAAGAAAUAAAAUAAACUUCUUUAAAUUUAUUAGUUAAUAAAUUAAUUUAACUUACCUAUAAAUUUGAUAAAAAAUUACCUAAGGGAUAACAGCGUUAUUAAAAUUAAGAGUUCAUAUCGACAUUUUAGUUUGCGACCUCGAUGUUGAAUUAAAAAUUCCUAGGGGGGUAGAUUUUUCUUUGGAUAGUCUGUUCGACUAUAAAAUUUUUACAUGAUUUGAGUUCAAAUCGGCGUGA